rnacentral:rRNA from 1 species
GACGAACGCUGGCGGCGUGCUUAACACAUGCAAGUCGAGCGGUAAGGCCCUUCGGGUACGACGAGCGGCGAACGGGUGAGUAACACGUGGGUGACCUGCCCUUACGCUCUGGGAUAAGCCUGGGAAACGUGGGUCGUAAUACCGGAUAUGACCUCAUGACGCAUGUUGUGGGGUGGAAAGCCUUGUGCGGCUAGGGAUGGGCCCGCGGCCUAUCAGCUUGUUGGUGGGGUGAUGGCCACCAAGGCGACGACGGGUAGCCGGCCUGAGAGGGC